UGUGUUAAAAAAAUUAAGGGGACAAUAGGA
rnacentral:piRNA from 1 species